CCCCGCCUCCCGCCUCCCGCUCCCCGCUCCCCGGGACACCCUUACAGAGCCCAGCACCUCCUUCCCCUCCCGGGGUCUCCCGCUGGACUGCGCUGCGGUUUCUCUGCACAGCGCUUGUCGGGUGUGUUGAGCUGGAGGUCUUGGCGCAGCGACGGGCUUGGGUGGCCAUGUGUUCCCGUGUAGGUGGAGCUCGUAAACGCGAGAAAAAGCCGCGCCCUGGGUCAUUUAAUAGCCUCUUUGCUAGAACGAGACGCCUCCCGGCGUGCCCCCUCUCCAGGGCCAGCCCUGACGGGGAAACAUGAGCGCUCCAUCCGGAUUGACUUCAAGAGCAAGAGUUUGAGAUGGAAAAGCUGGCCACGCCGCUCGGGUUGGGAUGAGUUGCAGUAUGCAUGCUGCUGACCUUCCAUUCUCAGGGACAUCCAUCCCUCAAAGCACACCUAGGUGUGAUGGCACAGGAGUUGAACCUGGUGAGCUGGUUCAACCUGAUAAAGUGGAAAACGCUGAAGUAUGUGGAAAACAAGAAACAGGGAUAGAGAAGUAAAAACUACAUUUUCACACACACCACCCCAAGAUCGCCAAAUCACCAAAAUGUGUAUUUGAUAUGUAAUUAAAGUUAGACUUUCAGGCAAUUCCGUCUUACAUUUCUGUCUUAUAUUUCUGUCUUACAUUUUUCCUUUCUUCUCAACCACCCCUAAAGCGUCCUUACCGAAGAUACUUGUCUUCACUAAUACAGCUUUCUCUUCAGUUGUUUUCUCCAAUUGCUCCUAGUCUUGUCACUUAAACAUUUUUUUUUUUUGAGACAGACUCUCACUCUACCACCCAUGCUGGAGUGCAGUGGCACAAUCUCGGCUUACUGCAGCCCUUCCGGGUUCAAGUGAU
rnacentral:lncRNA from 1 species